rnacentral:rRNA from 1 species
GAUUUCUGACGAAACUGCUAGCUGGCCCGCCACGCAAGUGUGUGAGUGCCGGCUUGGCGUUUGUCAUCCGUUCGAAUGAUAUGCGUGCUGCCCUUCACUGGGUUGGCGCUGCAUGUUUUCGAUCUUUUACUUUGAAAAAAUUAGAGUGUUUAAAGCAGGCUUUUGCUAUGAAUACAUUAGCAUGGAAUAAUAAUCUAGGACUUCGGUUCUAUUUUGUUGGUUUCUAUAACUGAAGUAAUGAUUGAUAGGGAUAGUUGGGGGUGCUAGUAUUGGCCGGCCAGAGGUGAAAUUCUUGGAUUCGGUCAAGACUAACUUAUGCGAAAGCAUU